GCACCAUCUGAUUGCCCCUUUUUCCCCCAUUUCAGGGCCAUUUCUCAUCCCAACACAGGCACUGGGGAGGGAAGGGAGGAAAAUUAAAGUGCUGCAAAAAACCCCAUUAUUGCAUGGCACCACAAGGGCGAAAUCGGUUAAAUUUUGCCCCCCUAGUUCCCCAAAUCUGACUCUGGCCCCUUACACAUGACUGCAGUGAACAAGGCAAAGCUGGGAGCAGCCUCCAGCUGGGGCAGCUUGUGCCAGGAACUGAGACCAGGAACAACCAGGGGUGGUUCAAGGGCAGGCAGCUUCACCCUGUGCGACAGCCAAUCACCAGCACUCCUUUCUCCUCGCCAGGAGGGCAGCAUGGCCACAGCAGUUGCACAAAACCCCUGUGCUGACACUGGCCAGAGCUUCAUCUCUUGCUGUUGAAGAGACAAAAACCCCUCAGGAGGCAAUGGGUGAGCCACCAGAGGCUAUGGUCAUAAAGACUUUUGGAGGACUGGAUGAGACCUGUGAGAUGAGUGAAGCCGAGCGGCGCCGCAUUGAGGCUGACUUUGAGCGGCUGCGCCGGCUGCUAGCGGAGCAGAAGCGCACCGUGCUGGGGCGGCUGGCUGAGCUGGACCACACCUUCGCAGCUACCCACGCCGAAAAAUCAUUGCGGGUGACCGAGGGGGUUGCACAGCUCCACAGACUCAUCGGGCAGCUAGAGGCCAGGUGCUUGCCCCAGGUCAGCCUUCACAAGGCAUCAAUGGCUUCCGCCCCAACCGGCAGUUGGCCAACGUGGUGGUGGCCGUGCAGGAGGUGGCUCUGCAGCUGGUGCAGGAUCUGUGCCACAGGCACCAACGACCCCUCACUCUCUUCUGUCACAGUGAUGGAGUCCUUAUCUGCACCACCUGCGCCAAGCAUUGCGCCAACUCUGCCGUGCUGCUCGAAGAGGCCGCUUGCUGCUACAGGGAGUAUAAACCCCUUUUCCCUGCAGAAGCAGUUCGAAGCUUCCCUAAAAACCCUGCAAGAGGAGGACAAGCGAUGUGCUGGGCUGACUGAGGCAGCAAAGGAGACAAGACAGGAGAUGCUGGUGGGUGGUGCUGCCAUCUGGGUGCACCAUGGGGGCCACACUGCUUCAUUCCCCCUCCAGCAUCCUCCUCCUUCAUCCCCCAGACUUGAAUCAGUGCUGAAAAGCAGAAGCUGUGAGUGAUGCUGAAAGGGCCCCGCCAGGUGCUGAGUUCCAGGAAUCACAGUUUCUUUCCCGGUUCCAUCGCCUGUGCUGGAGGUUGGAGGAACAGCAACAUGGUGAAGCUGCCGAGAUGUCAUGGAUCCAGCAAUGCCACGCAGAGCUCCAGGCCAAGUGCCAGCAACCAGAUGGUGACCUGUUACGGGAUGUCUGAACCACCUUGAACAGCUAUUGGAGCCAAGAAACAACACCAGGAACACCAGUUUUGGCCCCAAGCCCUCAAUUUUUUGGAUCAUCUUCUCCCCCUGUGGUCUUUUCCUCUGGGAUUUUUGAUUUGGAGCUAGAGAGGGUUGAUGGUUAAUCCAAAAUUUGGUUAUGAUCGGGGAAUCUUCCAUCAUAUCUUGCAGGAGUGGGAGCCUUGCCCAUGGAAGUAACGAUGUCCCAGUGGUUCUCUAGCAAUGGGAAAAGAAAAUUUGGGAAUUUCUUGGCAUGAAACACCCCAAUUUACUCCCCUCGAGGUGCACAGAGAGGAAGAUGUGUUGGAGUGCUCUCUGGAGGAAGCCUCAGAGGGAUACUGGAGAGGUGAGUCUGGCUUCAGGGACUUACUGAACCCCCAUUUGGGUUCAGUGCCUGGAGCUGAUGCUCUGGUGCAAUUUUUGGAGGUGAUAUUCCAAUGCAUAGAGGCUCAUGAACAUCCCUCUCCCUGCCAGCAGCUGUGACUCGAUCCAGUCACAGCUCACCCCCAAAUCCUGGUGUCAUUGGAUGGCCGGACUGCAGGCCACCAGGAAUCACCCCCAGCUCCUCUGCCCUCAGGAGUGGAGUGUUUUGAAUCUCUCUGCUGUGUUUUGGGUCAGCAUGACUUUGUAGGGGACUGUCAUUGCUGGGCCAUGAAGGUUUGUCCUGGUCCUGACUGGGCACUGGGGGUAGCUUGGGAAUUUGUGUCCCAGAAGGGCUGCUUCGGUCUCAGCCCCAAACAAGGGGUUUGGGCUAUGGGGCAGUGGUUGGGGCAGCUGGAGGCUCUCACCUGACUCAGCCCUAUGUCUCUGCCCCACAACCACACUGUCUGAUGCAUUGAGGUGGCUGUGGAUUACCCUGGCGGGUGGAUGGCUUUCCGUGAUGCUAAUAGUCAGACUGAAGUCUUUGCCUUUCCCGCACCCACUUUAACACUCUGGCCACUGCUCUGUCUGGGCGAGGGGCCAGCUUUGCUCACCCUCUGUCCAUGAGUCUCCCCAAAAUGCACUAUGAACCUCCCAAGUGUAAACACUUCCACCACCCCAGCAAACACUCCACUCAACAUCAAACAGCCCCACUCCUCCAACAGCCUAUUUAAUUUUCCUUAAAAUAUCUAAUUUAACAAUCAUAUUUCACCCUUUUGCUUCUCAGUGGGAGAACAGAGGUAUUUUUAAUUCCUCAGCUGUUUGUCAGUGGAAGCAUGGACCAGACCAGGGAGAACGUCCCUAAAAGAUUUUUAAAAACUCACCUUGAGGAAGAAAAUGGGCUUUGCUGGUGCUGCUAGAUGUCUCAUGAUAAGUUUUUGCAAGUGGAAACUUUUCUCCUUGGGAUUUGUAGAGAAUUUAGGGGAAGUGGGUUAAAACCAUGUUUCACGUCUCUCAGGAUCACUCAGGCUUGGGCCUUUUCAGGGCUUUGUAUUCACUGCCAGGAUGUAAGCAGGGAGAGAGGCCACAGACAGAAUUUUAUCCCCCAUUUCACUGCCUGCAAGUGAAUAGAAGGGGAACUGAAACUAAAUGAACCGAAAUCUUGAAGCAGCAGAAGGUUGUUGUUAGGACUCAACCAUGUAAUAAAGUGCUGUUAUCAGCAAGCCCAGACAGGACUGGGCAGGUCUCUGCCUCUUGCAGUCCCAGUCACUCCUUUGCUGCCAGAAUUGCUUCCCCAUCCACAUGCACUCUUCACCUUGGUGUGAGGAAGAGGAGAAACUACCAGGAAAUGCAGCAACUUUUAUCUUUGGGACCCUAAUUUUAGACAAGUGUCCUGACAAAACACAGAUCACAGCUAAACCCACAUUACAGCCCUGCUCAGUUGUAUAAUUAGUUUUUUCCCUGUUUGGUUCAUGGUGAGGUUGGUGUUUCCUUGAAAGACAAGGUCCAGUGAUGUGUAAAGUGAUGUUGGUUUGCAGCAUCCUGCUCCAACAGAUGAACUUCCAAGACUCCAUCCACUUUUCAUCUGAAAAGCUUUAUGGAUAUUUAAUUUGAAAGUAAAAAAACAA